UAACCAAUACUAAUUGCCCGUGAGGCUUGACCAUAUAACACCCAAGCAAUUUGCUGACCUGAAAGGGCACCAGAUUGCGGUGUGUGAAGACGAAAUGAACCGAAAGUUCGAUUGUUCACAAACACCGAGAUCUAUCACAUACCCAUUCGCUGGAGCGUGUGCCGUAAGGCAAACGACCUGGCUACCGAAUUUCUUGACGACCAUAGAGCAUUGGAACCACCUGAUCCCAUCCCGAACUCAGCAGUGAAACGAUGCAUCGCCGAUGGUAGUGUGGGGUUUCCCCAUGUGAGAGUAGGUCAUCGUCAAGA
rnacentral:rRNA from 2 species